rnacentral:rRNA from 1 species
GAUGAACGCUCGCGGCAGGCUUAACACAUGCAAGUCGAGGGGCAGCGCGGGAUAGCAAUAUCCUGGCGGCGACCGGCGGAAGGGUGCGUAACGCGUGAGCGACAUGCCCGUUGCCCGGGGACAACCGGUGGAAACGCCGACUAAUCCCCGAUGGGAUAUUGUGCCGCAUGGCACGAUAUUGAAAGUUACGGCGGCGACGGAUUGGCUCGCGUCCGAUUAGCUUGUUGGCGGGGUAACGGCCCACCAAGGCUGCGAUCGGUAGGGGUUCUGAGAGGAAGGCCCCCCACAAUGGGACUGAGACACGGCCCAUACUCAUACGGUAGGCAGCAGUAAGGAAGAUUGGUCAAUGGGCGGAAGCCUGAACCAGCCAUGCCGCGUGCGGGAAGUAGGCCCUAUGGGCUGUGAACCGCUUUUGCCUGGGGGCAAUAAGGGCGUCGCGCACGUCCGAUGAGAUUACCAGGCGAAUAAGCAUCGGCUAACUCCGUG